ensembl:lncRNA
AUGGGUAUUGAGCACAGUACGGGUAGGAUACAGGAUCCAAUUUAUUCGUCAUCCUCCACGUUUCAACGGCGUGGUUUCCACUUCCGUGAAACCGGAGCUGAUGCAGGUACUGUCUCAAGAGCUACAAACUCUUCUGGGCAAAGAGGCCAUAGAACAUGUUCCUCUUCCACAGAGAGAGUCGGGCUAUUACAGCAGAUACUUCCUAGUUCCCAAAAAAGGGGUGGGGGAGUGCGUCCAAUCUUGGAUCUUCGAGGCUUAAACCGUACAAUCAGAGCACUCAAGUUCAAGAUGUUAACCGUCAAGACGGUCGUGUCGCAAAUUCGGCAUCACGAUUGGUUUAUCACGAUCGAUCUGAAGGACGCAUAUUUUUCAUAUAGAGAUUUUGCCACAACACAGGAAAUUCCUGAGGUUCGCUUUCGGGGGCGAAGCAUACCAGUUUCGGGUUCUUCCUUUCGGCCUAGCCUUAUCACCCCGCACGUACACAAAAUGCAUGGAUGCAGCGCUGGCUCCAUUACGACUCCAGGGCAUUCGCAUUUUGAAUUAUAUCGACGAUUGGCUGAUACUAGCGCAAUCGCGAGAGAUGGCGCUACAACACAGGGACAUCGUGUUAGCUCAUCUAGUUUCUCUGGGGUUGAGACUCAACACCGAGAAGAGUGUUCUCUGUCCGACUCAGAGAACGACUUAUCUCGGGAUCGUUUGGGAUUCGAUCACGAUGCGGGCACAACUGUCUCCCGCUCGGAUCGAGACCAUUCAGCAGACCAUGAGCAAGGUCAGGCUAGGCCAGGAUCGCACUGUUCGUCAGUAUCAAAAGAUGUUAGGUUUCAUGGCUUCAGCAUCCACGGUGAUUCCUUUGGGGCUGUUGCACAUGAGACCGUUUCAGUUGUGGCUAAAAGCCAGAGGAUUUCAUCCGAGAGCCAAUCCUCAAAGGCAAAUAAAAGUGACGCGCCGCGGGCUUCGUACACUAUCUCUGUGGAUCAGACCCCGGUUCCUUGCCUUGGGUCCCACUCUAGGGGCACCGUGUCGUCGCAGACUGCUAACGACAGAUGCCUCCCUGUUGGGCUGGGGAGCAGUUUUGGAUGGCCACCCAGCUCAAGGGGAAUGGGGGUCGUCAGCUCGAUUGGCACAUCAAUUGCCUCGAGCUGA